rnacentral:rRNA from 1 species
GACGAACGCUGGCGGCGUGCUUAACACAUGCAAGUCGAACGGAAAGGCCCUGCUUUUGUGGGGUGCUCGAGUGGCGAACGGGUGAGUAACACGUGAGUAACCUGCCCUUGACUUUGGGAUAACUUCAGGAAACUGGGGCUAAUACCGGAUAGGAGCUCCUGCUGCAUGGUGGGGGUUGGAAAGUUUCGGCGGUUGGGGAUGGACUCGCGGCUUAUCAGCUUGUUGGUGGGGUAGUGGCUUACCAAGGCUUUGACGGGUAGCCGGCCCGAGAGGGUGACCGGCCACAUUGGGACUGAGAUACGGCCCAGACUCCUACGGGAGGCAGCAGUGGGGAAUAUUGCACAAUGGGCGGAAGCCUGAUGCAGCAACGCCGCGUGCGGGAUGACGGCCUUCGGGUUGUAAACCGCUUUCGCCUGUGACGAGGCGUGAGUGACGGUAAUGGGUAAAGAAGCACCGGCUAACUACGUG